GUAUCCUGGCAUCGGCAGAGUUCUCUUCCCCUCAUCUUUGGAAAGUUUCGCAAGCUGGGCCCCUCCUGUGUGUAGCCAACAAUGAUGUUUUGUGUCUUCAUCCCGUUUGAAGGGCCUGGCACACAAACAGCCCAGCCUAUUCAUUCCUAGAGCAAUUUUACAUAUGCAAGACCAAAGCCAAGAUUAAUGUCUUCAUCCUCGACGUGCUCAUUCAGACACGUUCUGGUAAGUGCAAACACUGGGAUCUUUCACACGAGAAGUGGGGUUCCUGAUCGAUACGUCUGGCCUUGCUCACAUAGCCACCUCUUUGUUGCAACUCAAUCAUCCAAAUGGAUAGUUAAUAGAAGGACAUUUGUUUUGUCCAUCUGGAGUUCCUCCAGCGGGACAGAGAUGGCGUCACCUGCCCGGGGGGUCAUGUUGGCUCCCUCCUGGUUGAUACUCAGUGCACAACUCCCUCAAAUGAGCCACACUGCACGUGUUCCGCAGGCAGAUGGAGGCUACUGCGAACUAACAUUCAAUGAUGAAGAUUUACAGGGGAAAAAGCCUCAGCGGUCUAUCAUCAGGCCAAGCCUGAUCAAGAAGCUUACGUCAACCAAGCCGGCAGGGACAUCUCUGCGUCACUGCUGUGCUUCUUCCCGGGAUGACUUCAACUGGAGGCGCUAG
rnacentral:lncRNA from 1 species